GACGAACGCUGGCGGCGUGCUUAACACAUGCAAGUCGAACGAUGAAGCCGGAGCUUGCUCUGGUGAAUUAGUGGCGAACGGGUGAGUAACACGUGAGUAACCUGCCCUUGACUCUGGGAUAACUGCUAGAAAUGGUAGCUAAUACCGGAUACGACCCUCGGCGGCAUCGCCAGGGGGUGGAAAGAAUUUCGGUCAAGGAUGGACUCGCGGCCUAUCAGCUAGUUGGUGAGGUAACGGCUCACCAAGGCGACGACGGGUAGCCGGCCUGAGCGGGUGACCGGCCCCACUGGGACUGAGACACGGCCAAGACUCCUACGGGAGGCAGCAGUGGGGAAUAUUGCACAAUGGGCGCAAGCCUGAUGCAGCAACGCCGCGUGAGGGAUGACGGCCUUCGGGUUGUAAACCUCUUUUAGUAGGGAAGAAGCGAAAGUGACGGUACCUGCAGAAAAAGCACCGGCUAACUACGUGCCAGCCGCCGCCGUAA
rnacentral:rRNA from 1 species